rnacentral:tRNA from 1 species
UGCGACACUAGCUCAGUUGGUAGAGCGCAACCUUGCCAAGGUUGAGGUCACGAGUUCGAACCUCGUGUGUCGCNN